rnacentral:rRNA from 1 species
AUUGAACGCUGGCGGCAUGCCUUACACAUGCAAGUCGAACGGCAGCAUGGAGCUUGCUCUGGUGGCGAGUGGCGAACGGGUGAGUAAUAUAUCGGAACGUACCCAAGAGUGGGUGAUAACGUAGCGCAAGGUACGCUAAUACCGCAUACGAUCUAAGGAUGAAAGUAGGGGAACGCAAGACCGUGUGCCGCUGUGUCGUCCGAUAUCUGAUUAGCUAGUUGGUGAGGUAAAGGCUCACCAAGGCAUAGAUCAGUAGCUGGUCUGAUAGGACGACCAGCCACACUAGAGCUGAGACACGGUACAGACUCCUACGUAAGGCAGAAGUGGGGAAUUUUGGACAGUGGGGGCAACCCUGAUCCAGCAAUGCCGCGGGAGUGAAGAAGGCCUUCGGGUUGUAAAGCUCUUUUGUCAGGGAAGAAACGGUCGUGGCUAAUAUCCAUGGAUAAUGACGGUACCUGAAGAAUAAGCACCGGCUAACUACGUGCCAGCCGCCGCCGUAA